GGGUGGUAAUGCCGGAUGCUCCAGUUGGAUGCAUGUCCUUCUGGGAAAGAUUCAUCGGUAUGGGAUGGGGUCGCGUCCUAUCAGCUUGAUGGCGGGGUAACGGCCCACCAUGGCUUCGACGGGUAGCCGGCCUGAGAGGGCGACCGGCCACAUUGGGACUGAGAUACGGCCCAGACUCCUACGGGAGGCAGCAGUGGGGAAUAUUGCACAAUGGGCGCAAGCCUGAUGCAGCGACGCCGCGUGCGGGAUGACGGCCUUCGGGUUGUAAACCGCUUUUGACUGGGAGCAAGCCCUUCGGGGUGAGUGUACCUUUCGAAUAAGCACCGGCUAACUACGUGCCAGCAGCCGCGGUAAUACGUAGGGUGCAAGCGUUAUCCGGAAUUAUUGGGCGUAAAGGGCUCGUAGGCGGUUCGUCGCGUCCGGUGUGAAAGUCCAUCGCUUAACGGUGGAUCCGCGCCGGGUACGGGCGGGCUUGAGUGCGGUAGGGGAGACUGGAAUUCCCGGUGUAACGGUGGAAUGUGUAGAUAU
rnacentral:rRNA from 1 species